rnacentral:rRNA from 1 species
CCUACGGGAGGCUGCAGUGGGGAAUAUUGGACAAUGGGGGGAACCCUGAUCCAGCGACGCCGCGUGAGUGAAGAAGUAUUUCGGUAUGUAAAGCUCUAUCAGCAGGGAAGAAAAUGACGGUACCUGACUAAGAAGCCCCGGCUAACUACGUGCCAGCAGCCGCGGUAAUACGUAGGGGGCAAGCGUUAUCCGGAUUUACUGGGUGUAAAGGGAGCGUAGACGGUGCAGCAAGUCUGAUGUGAAAGGUCGGGGCCCAACCCCGGGACUGCAUUGGAAACUGUUGAACUGGAGUACAGGAGAGGUAAGCGGAAUUCCUAGUGUAGCGGUGAAAUGCGUAGAUAUUAGGAGGAACACCAGUGGCGAAGGCGGCCUGCUGGGCUUUUACUGACGCUGAGGCUCGAAAGCGUGGGUAGCAAACAGGAUUAGAUACCCGUGUAGUC